GACGAACGCUGGCGGCGUGCUUAACACAUGCAAGUCGUGCGGUAAGGCCCUUUCGGGGGUACACGAGCGGCGAACGGGUGCGUAACACGUGAGCAACCUGCCCUUCACUUUGGGAUAACUGCCGGAAACGGUGGCUAAUACCGGAUAUGACUUCCUCACGCAUGUGGGGUGGUGGAAAGCCUUCGGGUGGUGGGGGAUGGGCUCGCGGUCUAUCAGCUUGUUGGUGGGGUGAUGGCCUACCAAGGCUUCGACGGGUAGCCGGCCUGAGAGGGUGACCGGCCACACUGGGACUGAGACACGGCGCAGACUCCUACGGGAGGCAGCAGUGGGGAAUAUUGGACAAUGGGCGAGAGCCUGAGCCAGCAACGCCGCGUGAGGGAUGACGGCCUUCGGGUUGUAAACCUCUUUCGCCUGCGACGAAGCGAGAGUGACGGUAGCAGGUAAAGAAGCACCGGCCAACUACGUG
rnacentral:rRNA from 1 species